rnacentral:rRNA from 1 species
UACGAAGGGGGCGAGCGUUGUUCGGAUUUACUGGGCGUAAAGGGCGCGCAGGCGGUUUGGUAAGUCUCGUGUGAAAUCUCCGGGCUCAACUCGGAGCCUGCACGAGAAACUGCCGGGCUUGAGUGUGGGAGAGGUGAGUGGAAUUCCUGGUGUAGCGGUGAAAUGCGUAGAUAUCAGGAGGAACACCAAUGGCGAAGGCAGCUCGCUGGGACGGUACUGACGCUGAGGCGCGAAAGCGUGGGGAGCAAACAGG